GACCCGGCGAAAUUGCAGUACGAGUAAAGAUGCUCGUUACGCGCGGCAGGACGAAAAGACCCCGGGACCUUCACUAUAGCUUGGUAUUGGUGUUCGGUUCGGUUUGUGUAGGAUAGGUGGGAGACUGCGAUGCCUCAACGCCAGUUGGGGUGGAGUCGUUGUUGAAAUACCACUCUGAUCGUAUUGGACAUCUCAACCUCGGCCCGUGAUCCGGGUUAGGGACAGUGCCUGGUGGGUAGUUUAACUGGGGCGGUU
rnacentral:rRNA from 1 species